rnacentral:lncRNA from 1 species
ACAGCUCUUUCCUCUCUGCUCUGCGUCCACAGGCUCCCAGAGGCAGAGUCGGCAGAGGAGCACCGCUGGAAUUUGUGGCUGUUUUUCUCUCCUCUCAGCUGGGGUCGCCACUGAAGUGCCGCUUUAAUCCCAGGCCCAGCGCGGUGGGUUAAGGAUCCAGUGCUGGCGUCGCUGUCACAUAGGCUGCAGCUGUGGCUGGAAUUCGAUCCCAGGCCCAGGAGCUCCCAUGUGCUGCAGGGCCACAGAAGGAAAUCGCCCAUCUGGUCUUUUCUACCCCAACCCUCCCGUCAACAUCAGAAAGCGUGACCCGUUUCCCUGGAGCACGCCUGACAUCCACGCCAGCCUCCCCUGGGGGACCUUUACCCUUGGCGAGGGUAGGAGGAGCUCACAGCCCUCUCUGCAGAAAGCAAAUAGCCUUUGGUGACAAGGACAUCUUCCUAAUAAGCUGACUGUCUUGGAAGCGUGGGGACAGCCAGCUACUUCAUCAAGUCGCAAUCUCCAGGCUGUGAAGAACCUUCACGAAGGGACCUUGGAACAAUUAACUUCUGAUCAUUACUGAUGUGGGGUUUAGAACAAACACAGAAUGGGCCACCUGAUGCCAGGGGAUGACAGUCUGUGAACACAGGCCCAAUGAUGCCCCUGUCGGCCUCACCAGUGAGGUGCACACAGCCCACAUGCCCAGGACGGUGCUGGGGAGUUAACUCGUGCUGGUCAACUAGUUACGCUGAUGAGCCUGUAGCUGCUGACUGUUUUGGAGAAAUGCAGCCAGCUGUCUCGAUCAGAUAACAGGUUAUCAAAGGACCUGGAUGUUUGGAGUAACUUUGUCGGGAGACGGUGUUUCACACACAUGCAUUGUCUUCCCCGCUGAGGUCCCGGCUGUGACCCGACCUUGGGCAGAGGAGGAGGUGGAUGUCACUGGGUGGACAGGACAGUUAUUAUCAGCCCCCCAGACACUGUCUCUGAGUCCAGAUCUCACACGAGCAAUGCACACUGCGGGGCGCAGACACGCACCCUCCACCCAUGCUGCAAAUUCAGAUCCACAGCGAGGCGUGGGAGGAUUUUCACUGUCAACACAAUUUACUUAGAAGAUGAGGACACUGAAAGCAAGUAGCCCUUCAGGUGGUUUUUGGUAUCAUAAAAGCAGCAAAUAGGUAAAUAUUUGCAUUUCUUUUGAAUGUGAAAACAUCUCUUAUUUCAGCAGCAUUCUUCUAGGACAAAAAAUACUUCAUCAACAAUACUGGCUAAAUAUGUGACCUUUGCAUGAACCUAAAUAUGCAUUUAUACCCAAGGCUCUAGAUGUUAAUCAUUUAAAUGUCAAAACAUGCAUUUACAUAUGGAGCUACGUAAUAAGCAGAUAUUAACCUUAUUUGUUUGUAUUAAUUUUAUUAACAUAAAGCCCUAAACUUGAAA